rnacentral:rRNA from 1 species
CUGGCAUUGUUGGUUUCUCCCUUCUGACGAACCAUGAUGCCAUUUAUUUGGUGUUGUGGGGAAUCAGGACUGUUACUUUGAAAAAAUUAGAGUGUUUAAAGCAGGCUCACGCUUGAAUACAUUAGCAUGGAAUAAUGAAAUAGGACGUUUGAUUCUAUUUUGUUGGUUUCUAGGAUCGACGUAAUGAUUAAUAGGGAUAGUUGGGGGCAUUAGUAUUCAAUUGUCAGAGGUGAAAUUCUUGGAUUUAUUGAAGACUAACUACUGCGAAAGCAUUUGCCAAGGAUGUUUUCAUUAAUCAAGAACGAAAGUUAGGGGAUCGAAGACGAUCAGAUACCGUCGUAGUCUUAACCAUAAACUAUGCCGACUAGGGAUCGGAUGAUGUUAAUUUUUUAAUGACUCAUUCGGCGCCUUACG